UACGGAGGGUGCAAGCGUUAUCCGGAUUCACUGGGUUUAAAGGGUGCGUAGGCGGUUGUUUAAGUCAGUGGUGAAAGCUCGCAGCUUAACUGUGAAACUGCCAUUGAAACUGAAUGACUUGAGUACGAUUGACGUGGGCGGAAUACAUCAUGUAGCGGUGAAAUGCUUAGAUAUGAUGUAGAACACCGAUUGCGAAGGCAGCUCACGAAAUCGCAACUGACGCUGAGGCACGAAAGCGUGGGUAGCGAACAGG
rnacentral:rRNA from 1 species